CGCUAUCACUCCUACGGGAGGCAGCAGUGGGGAAUAUUGCACAAUGGGGGAAACCCUGAUGCAGCCAUGCCGCGUGUGUGAAGAAGGCCUUCGGGUUGUAAAGCACUUUCGGUAGGGAGGAAGGUAGUGUAGUUAACACCUGCAUUAUUUGACGUUACCUACAGAAGAAGCACCGGCUAACUCCGUGCCAGCAGCCGCGGUAAUACGGAGGGUGCGAGCGUUAAUCGGAAUUACUGGGCGUAAAGCGCAUGCAGGCGGCCUGUUAAGUCAGAUGUGAAAGCCCGGGGCUUAACCUCGGAAUUGCAUUUGAAACUGGCAGGCUAGAGUCUUGUAGAGGGGGUAGAAUUUCAGGUGUAGCGGUGAAAUGCGUAGAGAUCUGAAGGAAUACCAGUGGCGAAGGCGGCCCCCUGGACAAAGACUGACGCUCAGAUGCGAAAGCGUGGGGAGCAAACAGGAUUAGAUACCCUGGUAG
rnacentral:rRNA from 1 species